AUAACCACACCUGGCCAGAGGUGCCGGUGGGACUUCAUAACCCCACCUGGCCAGAGGUGCCGGGGGGACUUCAUAACCACACCUGGCCAGAGGUACCGGGGGGACAUCAUAACCACACCUGGCCAGAGGUGCCGGGGGGACUUCAUAACCACACCUGUCCAGAGGUGCCAGGAGGACUUCAUAACCACACCUGGCCAGAGGUGCUGGGCGGACUUCAUAACCACACCUGGCCAGAGGUGCUGGGGGACAUCAUAACCCCACCUGGCCAGAGGUGCUGGGGGACAUCAUAACCACACCUGGCCAGAGGUGCUGGGGGACAUCAUAACCCCACCUGGCCAGAGGUGCUUGGGGACUUCAUAACCACACCUGGCCAGAGGUCCCGGGGGGGCCAUCAUAACCCCACCUGGCCGGAGGUGCCGGGGGGGGCCAUCAUAACCCCACCUGGCCAGAGGUGCCGGGGGGACUUCAUAACCACGCCUGGCCAGAGGUGCCGGGGGGACUUCAUAACCACGCCUGGCCAUAGGUGCCGGGGGGACUUCAUAACCGCGCCUGGCCAGAGGUGCUGGGGGACUUCAUAACUGCACCUGGCCAGAGGUGCUGGGGGAUAUCAUAACCGCACCUGGCCAGUGGUGCUCGGGGACAUCAUAACCCCACCUGGCCAGAGGUGCUGGGGGAGUUCAUAACCCCACCUGGCCAGAGGUGCUGGAGGCCAUCACAACCCCACCUGGCCAUAGGUGCUGGGGGACUUCAUAACCACACCUGGUGUGUACCACCACGCCACCCUAAUUUUUGAAUUUUUAGUAGAGACGGGGUUUCGCCAUGUUGGCAAGGCUGGUCUCUACUCCUUACCUCUAGUGAUC
rnacentral:lncRNA from 10 species